rnacentral:tRNA from 6 species
GCCGGUUUAGCUCAGCUGGUAGAGCAGCGGUUUUGUAAACCGAAGGUCACGGGUUCGAUUCCUGUAACCGGCACCA